GAUCGUAGCUCAGUUGAUAGAGUGCUAGCCUCACUUGCAUGAGGCCCUGGGUUCCAUUCCCAGCAUCA
rnacentral:tRNA from 1 species